UACGUAGGGCGCAAGCGUUGUCCGGAAUUAUUGGGCGUAAAGAGCUCGUAGGCGGCCUGUCGCGUCUGCUGUGAAAUCCCGGGGCUUAACCCCGGGCGUGCAGUGGAUACGGGCUGGCUGGAGGCAGGCAGGGGAGAACGGAAUUCCACGUGUAGCGGUGAAAUGCGUAGAGAUGUGGAGGAACACCAGUGGCGAAGGCGACUCUCUGGUCUGUAACUGACGCUGAGGCGCGAAAGCGUGGGGAGCAAACAGG
rnacentral:rRNA from 1 species